rnacentral:rRNA from 1 species
ACUGCUCAGUAACACGUCAUUAAUCUGCCUUAUGGUUCUUAAUAAUCUUGGGAAACUGAGUGUAAAGGGGAUAGUUAUUCUAUACUGGAAUGUUGGAAUAACAAACGUAAGAUGAGAUGGCGGCCGAUUAGAUUGAUGGUGAGGUAAUGGCUCACCAUGUCUUCGAUCGGUGGGGGUCGUGAGAGCGAUGACCCCCAGAAGGACACUGAGAUAAGGGUCCUAGCCCUAAGGGGUGCAGCAGGCGCGAAAACUCUACAAUGCACGCAAGUGUGAUAGGGUAACCCCUCGUGUUUAUCGAGAGAUAGGCUUUUGUCAUGCGUAGUGAACAUGACGAAUAAGUGGUGGGCAAGACCGGUGCCAGCAGCCGCGGUAAUACGAU